GCAUUGGUGGUUCAGUGGUAGAAUUCUCGCUCGCCACGCGGGAGGUCGGGUCCGAUUCCGCCAAUGCA
rnacentral:tRNA from 1 species